CCACGAGGAAAGCGGAGUUCUCGGCACGUUUCAGUUCAGUUCGGUAUGAAAAUGACACUCGAGGUCCUAAUAUUGCCUUAUUUUAAUAUUCGUAUCUGACAACUGGCUGAUGCCUACUAGGGAAUAUUGCUCCAUUUUGACUGGUCACAGGGCCAAUCAGAUAUAGGCUAAUUUAUAGGACGGUGUUUACAGGCACUGUAGCCUAUAGCCUAAAGUAUUUUUUCAGCUCUAAUUUCAAUAUCAUCUGAAAUGUAUCCACACAAGGUAAAUAUUCGUCCUGUUGAAUGUCUAGCAUGAUCUCCAGCCCGUUUCCUGUCCCGCCUUUUAACGUCGUCAACAACGGGUUGCCGUCCAAGCCAGAGUUGAAGGUGUAGCAUUUCCCAUACCGCGUGUAAAUCUGCAAGUAGAAGAAGACAGAGAGCGGUAAGAAGAAUCCAGAAGUCAGCGGCCAGCAGGAUUACUUAUUUGUAAUCAAAAUUGCUGACAUCUCCGCCUGAGUGUGUGCUGUUGUAUUCCCUGGGCAGACUGAGUCUGAGCCCCAUGGCCUGAGCAGAGCCGAAAAGAGGCCGUCUGUAUCAAUGAAUACCAGAAGCUGUUGCCUACACACAGCCUGUUGUUCCCAGGUCCCCGAGCACAGCAGAGCAGGCCGCAUCCAUCUGAAGGAAACAUAUCUGUUCUGUCACUCAAAAAUGUAUAGUCCACAGACCACAGUCACACUUUGAGAGACUCCUCAUUCCUUGAAUUCUCUCAUCCUCUCCAACAGGUCAUUCAUUUCAUGGAUCAUGCCCUUCUGGUGUGGUAGCGCUGCAGUGCUUUAAAAUGUCCCAAUGCAUUGGGUUUGGGUUGUUCAGAAUAAACUUUGUAGGGUUCUUCUUGAGAUCGAACUGUUAAAACUAUUUUGCACAUUCUGCAGAAAAUAAAGCGGACUAAGCACUUGCCUUGGGCGUAAUAUGCUGUAGCUAUUUCAAAUCCAGUAAGACACAGUUAUGAUUCUACUCUGCACUUGUAAUCACAAAACAUGUUCAGGGCCUAUUGAAAGUCUACACCCCUUGAAGGUUUUUCAUAAAAAUGUUGCGUGCCUUAGAGUUUCAUGCAUUUAAAUAAGGAUUUGUUUCCACUGAUCUACACACUAGCUGACG